AGAGUUUGAUCCUGGCUCAGGACGAACGCUGGCGGCGUGCUUAACACAUGCAAGUCGAGCGGAAAGGCCCUUCGGGGUACUCGAGCGGCGAACGGGUGAGUAACACGUGAGCAACCUGCCCCUGGCUCUGGGAUAGCCUCCGGAAACGGGGAUUAAUACCGGACAUUCUCCUUCUUCCGCAUGGUUGAGGGUGGAAAGUUUUUUCGGCCGGGGAGGGGCUCGCGGCCUAUCAGCUUGUUGGUGGGGUAAUGGCCUACCAAGGCGACAAUCCGUAGCUGGUCUGAGAGGACGACCAGCCACACCGGAACUGAGACACGGUCCGGACUCCUACGGGAGGCAGCAGUGGGGAAUAUUGGACAAUGGGGGAAACCCUGAUCCAGCGACGCCGCGUGUGUGAAGAAGGCCUGCGGGUUGUAAAGCACUUUUAGUGGGGACAAAAAGCUACGGAUUAAUACUCUGUGGUCUUGAUUUAACCCAAAGAAAAAG
rnacentral:rRNA from 1 species